GAUGAACGCUGGCGGCGUGCCUAAUACAUGCAAGUCGAGCGAACAGACGAUGAGCUUGCUCCUCGGACGUUAGCGGCGGACGUGUGAGUAACGCGUGUAUAACCUCCCUAUAUUACUGAUAUCAUUUCGGAACAGCGGAUAUAAUCCCAGAGAAGAUACUGAACCACAGUGUGGAAUGGUAAAAUACGGUUGUUCGGUCACGUAUAGCGGGUUCCGCGCCGCAUUGGCUAGUUGUUAAGGUAACGGCUUACCAAGGCAACGAUGCGUGGCCGACCUGAGAGGGUGAUCGGCCACACUGGAACUGAGACACGGUCCAGACUCCUACGGGAGGCAGCAGUAGGGAAUCUUCCGCAAUGGGCGAAAGCCUGACGGAGCAAGGCCGCGUGAGUGAUGAAGGUCUUCGGAUCGUAAAACUCUGUUAUUAGGGAAGAACAACUGUGUAAGUAACUAUGCACGUAUUGACGGUACCUAAUAAGAAAGCAACGGCUAACUACGUG
rnacentral:rRNA from 1 species